AUGUCGUCGUCGUCCUUGUCCAAGGCCAGAUUCGAGGGUAAAGGAGGAGGAGGAGCAGGCGGAUCCGGGAGAUCCAUAUCGCUGGCCGCCUCCAGGGCCAAGCUCGCCGCCGCCACCGCCGCCGCCAAGAAAGCCGCUACUACAGCUAGCGGCCGGGGCAAGGCCAAGGCCAAGGCCAAGAAGGUCUUCUCCCUCACCGGCCAGAAGUUCGACACCCCAGAGGAGAGGGAGCCCCUGAGGAUCUUCUACGAAUCGCUCUCCAAGCAGAUCCCAUCCAGCGACAUGGCCGAAUUCUGGUUAAUGGAGCAUGGGCUGUUAUCUCCGGAGAGAGCCAAGAAAGCCUAUGACAGAAAGCUCAAACGGCAGCAGCAGAUCAAAUCAGGGACCCCCAUCAAGUCGCCAAAUUCCACCACUGUCACCAAACACAAACCUGCAGAGAGCUGGAAGAAACCGGUACCACUGGUUUCUUCUUCUUCCACAGCGCGUCACAACACAGAUCAUUCCGCCGCCAAGGCCAAGAGAAGAGUUGAGUACAGCAGCGACGAUGACCACGACGACAAAGAAUUCGUUGUCAAGCUCAAGAGACCCAAUUUCAACUCCAACUCCAAUUCCAAUUCCAGGGGUGGCUGA
rnacentral:rRNA from 1 species